CUUGCAUUUCCUGACUUUGAGAAAUGAGCUGUGCAAUUUUGCUGUUGUAAGGGCACAUUUUUAAAUAUUUAAUUUUUUUUAGAUCUCUUUAAAGGAUAAAAGAGACAUGCAGAGUUCUAUAAUUGCAAAGCACCAGUUUAAGAUACCUCUGAAUUACAUUAGUAAGCCAGAAAGGUACACUCAUUUCUUUAGCAUACUGUCAUUGGACAGCCAGCAAUACAACCUCAUCUUGACUGAGUUUUCUGCUUAAAACUGGUGUUUGACAGGCUGGUGGGAAACUGGACAUAAAUAAGUGGACAACGAGGAGCAGGAGUCUUGGCUUCAACAUAUAAAUGCCUUGUAAAGGGAAACCCCAAAUCAUCCAGUUUUAGAAAACCUGGGGAGAUGAAAAGAAACGGAGGAAGAAAAUAAAAUGUCUAUGGGUUUGAAUUUGACUUUUUAUUGUGAUUUUUUUUUUUGCGGGGCGGUGGACGCUGGACAAGGCUUGAUAGAUGAGUAAAUGCUUCUAGACAUCAGGGGCUGCUGAAAGAGAAGCCUGUUUUCUGGACAAGAUGCAAUGUAUGCAGACACUGGAAGAAAGGAACCAGCUGUUCAUCCUUUGAUUUUUGCCUGAUCAGCUUGAGAGAGUUUUGUGCAAGGUGGUUAGUGCACUCCUCUUCAUCAAUGAAUAGAGAAAUUAAUGUCAUUCAUGACUUUCAUGGAAUGUUUAUGCAGAGAUAGGGGAAACAUAAAAGGGAUGAAUGGAGCACUCCAAUCAAGAGAUGCUUAAAUGAAUAGGAAUCAGAAGAAGUUAGGUGCACUCAGAGUAAUAUUGUUUUGGCGUGUGUUAAUGCAGCCAAAAGAUAUGGAGGCAUUAGGUAAUAAGCUUUUCAACCUUGAGUUCAAAGGAGACAAACAUGGACAAUGUGAAAAUAAAUGGAGGCAGACUCCCAGGAGAGAAAUAAAAAUUUUAAUAUACUGUCAUGAGGAAACAAUAGGAAAAGGGAACAUAGUGAUUUUUUUUGUCUCCUUUUUCUACUGAACAGGAUGUUAUUACAGAGAGUAUCUGCUGACCAGAGCCAAGGGGCCAUUAAGUUAUUUAAUGUGCAGAGACCAUCAGAAAAGCAGUUUUGCAAAAAAUGGCACCAGAGAGGUCUGUUCUUAGACACUGUCACUGAAAAUCCGUAUCGUGCUUGCUCAGUUUUCAUGUCGGAAGAUUAUUUUUUCAAACUCUCCUAGGAUCUGAAAAUGAACCUGCUGUUUUUGUAUUUUACUUGCACUAUCACCAGUGAUGAUUCCUCCUUCAGAAUGUAACUGAUGAUUUUUCUGAUGCAUGAGGAAGAAUAAAAUCUAUCUUGC